rnacentral:rRNA from 1 species
AUUGAACGCUGGCGGCAUGCCUUACACAUGCAAGUCGAACGGCAUCGCGGGAAAGCUUGCUUUCCUGGCGGCGAGUGGCGAACGGGUGAGUAACACAUCGGAACGUACCGGCUAGUGGGGGAUAACCCGUCGAAAGACGGGCUAAUACCGCAUACGCUCUUCGGAGGAAAGCAGGGGACCUUUUGGCCUUGCGCUAGUCUAGCCGCCGAUGUCCGCUUAGCUGGUUGGUGGGGUUAAGACCUACCAAGGCGACGAUCGGUAGCGGGUCUGAGAGGACGAUCGGCCACACUGGGACUGAGACACGGCCCAGACUCCUAAGGGAGGGAGCAGUGGGGAAUGUUGGACAAUGGGGGCAACCCUGAUCCAGCAAUGCCGCGUGGGUGAAGAAGGCCUUCGGGUUGUAAAGCCCUUUCGGCAGGGAAGAAAUCGGCGGGGCGAAUAACCCUGCUGGAUGACGGUACCUGCAGAAGAAGCACCGGCUAACUACGUG